GGUGGUUCAGUGGUAGAGUUCUUGGCCUUUCAUGCAGAAGACCUGGGUUCAAUUCCCAGCC
rnacentral:tRNA from 1 species